UCACAAGCUUCCCAACUGGAGUAAAUGACUUCAGACGGAAGUAAAAUCAAUUAAGAAUGAAAGGGUUGGGUGUACUGGCUAGAAAAUGCAACCGAAGAUUAUGUUGUGUUUCCCAUCUAACAGUAAUGAUGCAAGACAACAAAAACAAAUGGCUUUUGGGUAGUGAUGAUGCACGAUGUGGGAUCCAUUAUGCGUGCAAGGGUAAAAAAAGACACAUUUUGAAGCAUCACCUAAUACUGCUUAAAGAUGCCCCAAUAACCAUGCACUUAAAAUUGCCAAUUCUUAUGCACAAAUGCCCUAAUUGUGCGUAAUGGGUACCAAUAAAGGUGCACACAUGGGUCAAUUAUGAUCCAAAAUGCCACAAAAUGAGCAGCGAUUGGUACAUGUGAAAUUUAUUAUGGGCGUUCAGUUAUUUGUUUUUGAGUUUUUUAAAGUUAGUAGUUGGGUGUGCAAGGAGUGAAUGAUUAUUGUAACAUGAAUGUGAAUGAUUAUUGGAACAUGAAUGUGAAUGAUUAUUGGAACA